rnacentral:hammerhead_ribozyme from 1 species
AUCCAGAUGACGAGUUUGAAAAAAAAACGAGACGCGCGUCCUGGAU